ACACAUGCAAGUCGAGCGGUAGCACAGGAGAGCUUGCUCUCUGGGUGACGAGCGGCGGACGGGUGAGUAAUGUCUGGGAAACUGCCUGAUGGAGGGGGAUAACUACUGGAAACGGUAGCUAAUACCGCAUAACCUCGCAAGAGCAAAGAGGGGGACCUUCGGGCCUCUCGCCAUCAGAUGUGCCCAGAUGGGAUUAGCUAGUAGGUGAGGUAAUGGCUCACCUAGGCGACGAUCCCUAGCUGGUCUGAGAGGAUGACCAGCCACACUGGAACUGAGACACGGUCCAGACUCCUACGGGAGGCAGCAGUGGGGAAUAUUGCACAAUGGGCGCAAGCCUGAUGCAGCCAUGCCGCGUGUGUGAAGAAGGCCUUCGGGUUGUAAAGCACUUUCAGCGGGGAGGAAGGCGAUAAGGUUAAUAACCUUGUCGAUUGACGUUACCCGCAGAAGAAGCACCGGCUAACUCCGUGCCAGCAGCCGCGGUAAUACGGAGGGUGCAAGCGUUAAUCGGAAUGACUGGGCGUAAAGCGCACGCAGGCGGUCUGUUA
rnacentral:rRNA from 1 species